AAGUUUUAUCCAAUUCUCAGGAUUCUUCUCAGGGUUUACAUGUUUUGGUCUAAAUAUGAAAUAUGUACAACCGUGAGUGGAGACCUGGGGGUUGGUUAGUCAAC